UCCUCUAACCAGGAAAGAUGCCAUCCUUGUCGGUACAGCAGAGGAACUCAACACAGAGACAUUGUGACUAUCCCUCCAGCCCUCUCAUGGAAGCCACACAACUAGUCUCUCCUGUAUGACUUUGGCACCCUCUGAGCCACUGUCCCUCUGACGGAGUCCAAGGUGAAUGCCUACAGGUAUCCACACAUUCAGAUGCAUGCGACCUGGGCCAGGUUGCACCCCAAAUUUCUACAACUUCUACGAAUCUGGUGAAAUUCUGUUAAGCACACUAUAGGAUAUUAAAUCCAAAGAAUCACAGAACCUUCCAGUCAGAGGUCAUUUUGGAUUAUCGAUUUCAGUCUCUCAUCUGUUUUGUGAAGAUCCUCCUUCCACCCUGACAGAGACACCAUCUAGCUUCCAUUUUACUCUUUAAAAGACUGCCUACAACAUGAGUGCUAUACUUCGUAAAGGAAACUGCAUAUGCAGAUUCAGUGUUGUAUGUUUUUGGAUGAUUAGAUGGACCUUUAAAAUGAAACUUCUUUAAUCUGGCAGGAUCAGCUGCAAUGCCCUGUGGUAGUGAUGACCUCAUCUCCAGGAGAAAUUGGGAUAUUGGUCAUACAGAUCAUUUAGACAAAGUGGCCAUUAGGGUAUAAGUGAUGAUUGCAAGUGCUCUGUGGACGAGUUACUUCUGGCUACAUUCAAAGAAUAACAUACAGAAAAUGAUGA